GAUAACACAGCUGUAUCGGGCAAGGGAGAAAGGAGGGGCAGGAAGAGAAAAGUCCAGCGCCUGCCAGCCCUAGCCUUCAGCGUAGAGGACCGUGGCUUCACAGACAGCCCCUUAAAAAAGCUCAAGAAGACCCCUUUUGUGUCCUUUCAGUUUGAAACUGUCCUGCCUUCAGAGCAGCCACCAGAAGCUGAGGGAAAGAGAUCCCCUUCGGCUGAGCACUGACCCACUCCCUCGGUGCCAGCGGUACCUCCUCAGUUUGGCUCUUGGGGCGGGCACAAGGAGUGCUAUUGAGUACGAGUGGGACACCCCCAGAUCCCUACAGCCUGACCCCAACUUCAGGGAUCAGUGCCCCCCGAGGCUUGUGGGAGCUAGCAGGCCCACAGAGGUUCACUGUCAGCUGGGUUAGCAGUGGCAGCAGCAGUGGAGACCACCACAUCUCUGACCACUAAGAGAGGAUGCCUAGAAGGACUUUCCACAUCCAUUACAUAAUGCUUUCACCAGUUGGAGAGCCACUGAGACCCCCAAAGCCCUCCCUCCCAGGGAGCUGAAGAUUCAGCUGGCUUCAAGAUUGGCCAGAGCGCCCCCCCCCCAACGGGAAGUCACUUUGAGUUUAAACAGCGUCUCCUUUCCACAGGUUGAAUGGGGGAGAAGGCAUUGCCCUGGGAGGGAUCUCCAUUCGCUGGCCUCCCUUUAAGAUCUGCUUUUAAAACUCAGGGACCCCCUGUGACCUAGCCUCAGAGGACCGGCCUCAUCUCCCCUGGGCUCCCGGGGAUGGAAUGGGCCCAUCCAUUCUCUUCGUUGCUGGGGAGGGGGAGGCACGGUCCUCUGGGGUGAUCUGCUGUCCAUCUCUUGCCUCUUUUUGCCCUAGAGAUGCAUUUGAUGAUCUUUGGCCACAAGAACCAACAGGGCCUGCUAGUGAGAUAUGGCGCUGGUUCAUAUUAAAAUCUGUUUGCUCUUGCUGGUGAUUCACUGACUGACACUCACUCAGGAAUGGGACUGAAGAGUCACCCCAGAUGAGCUCUAGAACCGCAGGAUCUGGAAUGGGCCAUCGAGGCCAACCCUCUCAUUUUUUCAGGAACUUCCAUUCUAAUGGGGAAGACAACAUACAAAUAACUGAACCAACAAGUUGGAGACAGGAGAGAUCAGGAGGUCAUCCACAGAGGGAAGGGGGCUAAUUAAGGGGGCCUGGGAAAGGAAGGUGGGAUUCUAGCUGGGACUCAAAGGGAAGCCAGGGAGAAGAGAUGAGGCGGGAGAGCAUUCCAAGAGUCAGAGAGGGAAAGGGUCCUGGCCAAGGAUUCCCAGGUGGCAGGUAGGAGCCAGAUCAUUGAGUGGCCCUUGUAUUACCUAGAUGGAGGUCAGCCCUCGCAACCCUGAGAUGAAGGCUAAGCCAGCACGUUUUGGGGAGAUGCCUGAUGUAUGACCAUGCUCCCCUCAUAUCCCCUUGUGUAAACCCCCCACCCCAUGAAUAAAAAUGAGAUUGAAUUCUGG